rnacentral:rRNA from 1 species
UACAGAGGGUGCAAGCGUUAAUCGGAAUUACUGGGCGUAAAGGGCGCGUAGGCGGAUUAAUAAGUUAGGUGUGAAAUCCCUGGGCUCAACCUGGGAAUGGCCGUUGAAACUGGCGAACUGGAGUGUGGCAGAGGGGGGUGGAAUUCCGCGUGUAGCAGUGAAAUGCGUAGAGAUGCGGAGGAACACCGAUGGCGAAGGCAGCCCCCCUGGGCUGACACUGACGCUCAGGCACGAAAGCGUGGGGAGCAAACAGG